GAUGAACGCUGGCGGCGUGCCUAAUACAUGCAAGUCGAGCGAACAGACGAGGAGCUUGCUCCUCUGACGUUAGCGGCGGACGGGUGAGUAACACGUGGAUAACCUACCUAUAAGACUGGGAUAACUUCGGGAAACCGGAGCUAAUACCGGAUAAUAUAUUGAACCGCAUGGUUCAAUAGUGAAAGACGGUUUUGCUGUCACUUAUAGAUGGAUCCGCGCCGCAUUAGCUAGUUGGUAAGGUAACGGCUUACCAAGGCAACGAUGCGUAGCCGACCUGAGAGGGUGAUCGGCCACACUGGAACUGAGACACGGUCCAGACUCCUACGGGAGGCAGCAGUAGGGAAUCUUCCGCAAUGGGCGAAAGCCUGACGGAGCAACGCCGCGUGAGUGAUGAAGGUCUUCGGAUCGUAAAACUCUGUUAUUAGGGAAGAACAAAUGCGUAAAUAACUAUGCACGUCUUGACGGUACCUAAUCAGAAAGCCACGGCUAACUACGUG
rnacentral:rRNA from 1 species